UCCCGGGUUCAGAAGGCUCACACUGUGCUUCCCUGUGAGCGUGUGUUCAGCUGACUCCAUAAGGACAUAUCAUAAGCUCUACCAGUUUGGUACAAUGAUAAUUUUCCUUAAAAAGUGGCCGGUUUCCAGAGAAGGUUUCCAACACUCGUGGUCAUGGCCUUGGAGAUCUUUCCUGGCUGCCUCUGUGCUUCAGUUGAGAUGGACUCAUCUGAGCUGCUGCCUCUGUUGAGGAGCAAGGAGUGGGGACACUUUGUGACGUGGAAUGAAAUCACACCGUGUCACUCUGACAGCCAGGCUCCACGAUGCAAUUACCAUCCUCACGCAGAAUAUUCUAAGUAAUUCCCUGGAGUGCAGUGUAAGUGGAAAAAACCACCACAGCAGACACUGUAAUUUGCUCUUGGACUUUACACAAAGAGGGAAAUGAGCAGAACUUCAUAAACAUCUUAUUUUAUGGGAGUCUCGCUGACUUAAGGAGCGAUGGGCACUGGUGCAGCUGUGCAAAGGAGCCCGGCCCCAGCACGUGCUGGUUUGUGGCUAUCCACAUAUCCUGGACCAGGAGCAUUCCAGGCCAGGCACGGGCUGCAGGACGCUUCUUCUCUGGGUCCUUCCACUGCAGCAUGUCCUGAAGCCCAUUAUAUGGUUAAUAUCUGCAAAGCCUGCGAUUUCAUUGUUUGAUAUAAUUUUAUUCAAUAAAGCUGCCUCAUUGCAUAAAGGUCUUGGUAUUU